rnacentral:lncRNA from 1 species
GAAAACAUGACAUGGCCGUCCGCUAGUACAUCUAGCGGACUGGGUUAAUAAAAAUCUCAGCCAAUUAUGACCCUAAUUAGUCGAUUAAAGAGCUAUCUCUCUCCACUUCAACUCCUUCAUUUUCCUGUUCUUCCUUCGUCUUCAGUUUCAGACCCAAGCGCUUCCACUUCCUCUCAUCUUUCAAAGAAACCAAAAAACAGCAACAGAACCU